CCUUAGGGUACUGUACAGCAAGAGAUAAGGACAGACACUAUCGGACACGCCAGGAGGCGGCCCGUGACUCUGGUCUGCGUUCCCGCUUUGCAUCUGGAAUCCCUUGCAUCUCUAGGAGCAGGCUAGGCUGCGGGGAAGGGGGAUUCAUCGGAGGGAGAGCAUGAAGAGAUCUCAAAUCUGAGCGGGAGGCUGGAGUUUCUGGUACGAGAGGAAGCGCCGGGCCGGGCAGGCACCGGGGAAACCCAGCGCCAGGCCGCAGCGGGCACCGCCGCCUCUGUCAUCUCGCGCCGCCGGCCAUUGUACGGAGCCAUCACAGGCUCAUAAGAUUGAACGGGUUUGGGGCAGCAAUAUCUGUCAUGCGUUCAUAUUUAAGCAGUCAUCAUGCAGAACUACAGCAAGCUCAACAAGCUGCCCACGGUCGUUGAAGAGGAUGACUCAGACAGGAGCGACGGGUAUGACGGUCCUACUUUCAGAUGUUCAGUGCAGAAGGUUUACUCUUUUAUAUUACAGUUUGACCAGUAGAAAAGAGACAUUGUUAUCUCUAUGGGUUGGGGUGGCACUCUAUCCAUUCCACUGAUUAGCAAGUUGAGUGUCAGACAUAUGGUUUGGCUUUUAGGGAUGGUGGAUGAGGUCAGACAAGCCAUUAUCUUGGGGCCGAAUAAGGUAUUUAAGUUCAACGAGAGCGACGUUGAGAAGAUAUACGGAAUCCCGGCAGCUGGAACAGAUGUGAUGGACAAAACCCAGGAAUAAUGGUUAUAUACGCGUACAAAGAACCGAUUAAUGGUAUAUGAAUCCAGAAACUCAUUAUAUUACCUAUCAUGUUUGCAAGCACCUGUCCGGUUUUUACACCAUGAACUUCUGCCGGAAUUUCAUUGGCGACCAAGCGAGUCAUGAUAUUCACGUGGACGAUGAAAGUUCGCUGGUGCCAUAUUACCUUUACGACAUAUUGCAUCUCAAGGGGAACAAUGCAAGGAGGCCGCAUCAGUUUAUCGAGUCUAUCGAAUGAAAAAGGAUGUGGAGUCGAGUAACGUCAUGGUGUAACAAUAUGAAGUCUCCUGAGGCAUAUCUUGCUUCAGACUGUUUCUGUUGGGGCGCAAGCGUUUGUAUGUUAAUGAUCUAGAUUGGCUAUGGGUCAAGCACAACUACGGUCCUCGGACAUGACCAAAAAUAUAAUUUAUUGGUAUGGAUGUCAAGUUAUGAA